UCUUAUGGAUGAGCAAAGAAAGUGGUUUCUUGAGAUGGAAUCUACACCUGGUGAAUAUGCUGUAAA
rnacentral:pre_miRNA from 1 species